rnacentral:lncRNA from 10 species
AUUCAAAGUAUAUUAAAAUAUGUUUAUUGCAGCACAAUUUACAAUAGCAAAGACUUGGAAACAACCCAAAUGCCCAUCUGAUAGACUGGAUAAGGGAAACGUGGCACAUAUGCACCAUGGAAUACUAUGUAGCCAUAAAAAAGAAUGAGUUCAUGUCCUUUGCAGGUACAUGGAUGAAGCUAGAAACCAUCAUUCUCAGCAAACUAACACAGAAACAGAAAAACACGUGUUCUCACUCAUAAGUGGGAGUUGAACAAUGAGAACACAUGGACACAGGUAGGGGAACAUCAUACACCAAGGCCUAUCGGGGGUGAGGGGCUAGGGGAGGGAUAGCAUUAGGACAAAUACCUAAUGCAUGCGGGGCUUAAAACCCUAGAUGAUGGGCUGAUAAGUGCAGCAAACCACCAUAGCACAUGUAUACCUGUACAACAAACCUGCACAAUUUGCACAUGUAUCCCAGAACUUAAAGUAAAAUUAUAUAUAUAUAUAUAUAUAUUUAAAAUAACUUUUCACCUUAGCUUUAUGUUUGCAAAAUGAUUUCUACUUUUUAAUAAUUCUUCUUUUCUCUUUGAUUUUAUUUUAUUUUUCUGAACCUGUCUAUAACUUUGGGAGAGAUGGAUUCAAUUGAUUACUUAAAUUGUUCAUUUAAUUAAUUGAUCCCUGGUGGUAAACAGCACUAGGUUAUUCAUCUUUGGGCUUCAGAAUCCUGCCACGAACUGAUGACUUUAGGUGAGUACUAGCUGCGUCGUCUGGAUUGAUAGCUGGCUGUGGUUUGCCAUGCAAUGUACAUGAGUUUAUCACUGCAGAGUUAAGCUGGAGCUGAAAGGGAGUGUCUUUACAUUUCUACUCAAGGUCUUUGUUUGCUUUGGUGUCAGCAAAGUCAAGUUACAUGUUGAUAUUUAUGUAAUGAGUCACACAUGAAAAUAUGAAUCAAAUGGUGUUUACUUCAAUUCAAUCCACUAAUAUUUGGCACUGGCACCGUGAAAAGUGUUUCUGAUGGACUAUCUCCCAAAUCCCACUUAUCACAGCACUUAACUGACUGCAGAGACAUUGCUUGUAAAAAUGUUGCCUAAACUGAUAAGCUGUUCAGUAGCAGCGACUGCUUCUCAUAUACACUUGUACUCUACUUUCCCAAACAUGUUUGUUUUAUAUAUUCCAAAGUUGGCUAUGUUUUCAUCUUCUUUUCUAAUGAUUUAUCCUUACGUACAUAGAGUUCUUACUUGCUAAGUACUGUCAAUUAGCCCCAGUUCAAAGUGGAGUUAAAGAUGCCUUCAUUUUAUGUUUUGAAAAAGAAUUUCUGGCUCUUUCAGAAUUACACAUUGUUGUUUAUUGCACAGUACUAAUAGUAAAUUGUUUGUUCUUAAAAAAAAAAACCUUAUUUUUAUAGGAAAGUCUUCUUUUCUCAGAAUUAAAUAAAAAUAUUUGCUUUUAAUGAGACUUGUUUUAAAAAAUAGAGACAUCAUUCCAUUCAGAUGAUUCUUAAUUUGUGUAUUCAAAAUGUGUCCAGUUUUUCCAGUAGUGCAUUUCAUGAGACAGAAAAGUUAAGAAUGCAUAUGUGUGAAACCAAAUACAUUUUUGACUCAUUAUACAUUUUGUGAAACAACUGGGAAAUGAGAUGUUGAUUGAUGCCCAGUCACUGUGGUUGUGUGUCUAUUGCCAAUGAAAAUGUAGCUGAAAUACACAAAUAUUUUUAAAUGUGCUCUAUGGGUGUGUCCUCUUUGCCAGAAAAUACGCUGCACAAUUGUUAUGUAAACACUUGUGCUAUUCCCACUGCAAAAACAUUUUGCAGAUGUUUCCCUGUGAAAACAUUCUAAAACAUAUACUUGGCUGUCUUUGUUUACCUUAACUUGUUUUCAAUAACUGUUUCUUUUUGACUGCAGCUUAUUAUAGUUUCUUGUGGUUGAACAAAUGAAGGAUGAGAAACAAGUUUAAUGAUUUAGAAAUAAUCUAGCUUAUGUUAUUGUAUUACAGUGCUCUCUAACAAUUUUCUCUAAUUUUUAUCACAGAAAAACAACAGUAAUUCAAAAGAAACAAAUACACAAAAAGAAAGGGUCGGGGGGGGCGCUGUAAUUCUAAAAUCUGUGUGACUAUUUUUGCCAUGUCCACAUAGGAUCGGUGUCUCCAGAUGUCCUUAAGACUGUCUCAUGAACUCCAUUCUUCUUCAAUCCAGCAAGAACCCUCACCUCUCGUUCCUUGUGAUGCAGUUUGGCAGUUGAGAAUGAGGUCAUGGUAGAGGAGAAAGCAUUCCGUCCCACGAGAAAUUUAGAGUUGGUGAUCUCUAAUCUCUACAAAUUUCCAAUAAGGAAACUGAGAUGCAAACAGAUGAAAUAACUUGCCGAAAAUCACAGUCAGUAAGUACUGAAGUGGGGAUUUGAACCUACACAGUAUGAUCCAGUCUGCACACAAAAAUCACUGCCUCUUGGGGUUACUGUGAGGAUUGAAUGAUACUGCGUUGGCACGUGAUAAGCAUAAUAAAAUGUUAACUAUUAUUAUUAUUACCAGUUUAUUCUAAAGAGUACGGAAACUGUCACCUAAGAUGUUGACAAAUCAGAAACACUAAUGAUACUGAGGAGAUGAACAGCAGGCAAGUUUUAAAACCCUGUCCUUUCACUGGGAAAUUUGAAAACUAGCAGGAAAGCUAGUGGACUGGAAUAGAAUGAGCAAGACAGGGAAUAGAAAAUGAGGUCAGACAGUUAUCCAAUCACAUAGAGCCUUGUAGAGCAUUAUAAAGACUGACUUUUGUUCUGAGUGAGAUGAAAAGCCAUUGGUGAGUUUUGAGCAAAGUCAUAAAAUGAUCUGACUUAAACGUUUUAACAGGAUUACUCUGGCUGCUGUGUUGAGAAAAG